GCCUCCAGAACUUGCCAUAGGACCUCUCCAUCCGGUGCCAGUGGUCACCUUUCUUCUCCUCUUCCUUCUUCCUCUCCCCGCUCACCCUCAGCACUCUUUGGCUCUCGUCCACCUCUAUCUUCACCUCCUCCUUCCUCAGACCCGGGAUGUCCAUCAUGAUAACAUGUCCCUCAGGUGUCUCCUUCCAGUCCACCCUGGCUGGAGAGGGGGCUAGGUCCGCAUCCCUGUCGAGGCCCAAGGGGAUCUGCUCCAGAACUCGGAAUGGAUCUGGGAAACGGUCCGACCAGAUGUCCAACAGGGACCCCUGGGUCGACCCAGCUGCAAGGAAGAACACAAGCAAUAGCAGCAAAGAAGAAACAAGAGAGUGUUUCAUUUUGG
rnacentral:lncRNA from 1 species